GAGACUCCACCACCUCCCUGGGCAGCCUGUUCCAGUGCUCCGUCACCCUCACUGUAAAGAAGUUAAAGGUGUCUCUGGACACGGAGGGGAUGCACCUCCUGUCCUCCAGGCUCAGCAGCCCCAGCUUCCUCAGGCUUUUCUCAUUAUGGUGAGGUGCUCCAUCCCUAUCAUAAAGAGUUCACAACAACUGGGCAAAAAAAAACCCAUCUCUUCCAAUUCUGACUUCUGGGAAGUCCAUCUAUUGGAGUCCUCCAUUGUGUCAGUGCUUUUCUUCUUAUGAAUUAAGUUUUUUGCAUUAAUUGUUCUAAACGGUGGAGGAGCCUCCAAUGGAAUGUACUUCUCUGAAUCUGUCACUGCUCAGGAAUAAUGGAUCUCUUGGCAGAAAGCUGCAGGUUAUUCCUUGAACUUCAUUAAACAUUUAACCUAUAAGUAUUGUAUAUUUUGCCUAUAAUCACGCUAAACAUACACAUUUUGCCUGCGUAUCACACUGCUCAUGUAGCUUCCCUCAAGCACAAGACUUUCACCGUGAUUUUAAGUACGUGAGAAAUGAAAAUGAAAUGUUUUGUCUUCCUAGCUCGAAGAACAGCGAGGUGAGUGAUUUGCAUACCCAUUUCAGUUCACAAUUAAUUCUAAUUGGGAGUAGCAGGAAAAUUGAGAGCAAAGAAGCCUCUCCACUUUUAAGGCAGCAACUAUCAAAAACAAACAAGCAUUUGGGCCAACUUUCUUUCAUCUAAGCACUUAAGUUUCGUAAGUUCUGUGAUGGGGAAAUGCUUUAGUGCCACCUGGGAACUUAAACUCCAGCUCAGCCCAUGCUGCUUUUCAGUUACAAUGCUGUCUGUUAGCAAAGUCAAGCAGGGCUUGUGCAGAGGGAUAUGGGAAAGCUCACUAGACUUUUCAGCUGUAAGUAGCAGCUCUCAGGUACAGAUCUUAGAAAUGGUAAUUUCCUGACUAAAGGAACUCAUGCCUGCAUGACAAGGACAAAACAACUGACUUGAGCAGCAAGACAUUGCUCUAAUAAAUGAGCCUCCUUUUCAAAGCAAAUCCUAUUCAUGAAAUAAUUUAUGGGAAAACAAUACAAACUGACAGUGCAGUGUUUUAGGUGGAAAUAACUUCAGUGCAAGUGGGGUAUUGUUGUCACCGAUGAUUGAAAAGUUUAGGCAUUAGUGGCUCUUUUGCAGAACUGCAAUAAAAACAAUGAACCUCAAAGCUAAAUUAUGAGUUCAGAAAUUGUUGUUUUGAGCUUAAUUAGGUAUGUAUAAUACUGUGACAUGUGUCGAUGGGAUGGAAAUCUACUUGUCAAUCUAUCAAACAGUCCUCAGGAACUGACAAGGUGACCUAUUUUACCACCAUAACUACUUUGAAAAAAUCAUACUGAAUUCUUAUGAAUAAAUGUACCACUGAUAAAUCAUUUAGUUUCCUGUUAAACUGCAACAGCACCAUGGAAAUAACUGCUUUUAACAAGAUCCUCAGGUUUCCGGGCUGUCUCCCAGCUGAAAGGAGAAACCUGACUUUUCCUGAUAUCUGAUGUUACAGGUUCUCAAACUGAUCCUUGCCACACAGAGUUCAGUUCCCAGGAUCCCUCCCACUUGCCCUCGUUUUUGGAAGCCCCAAGAAGAGAGGCAUUACACUGAGCGGAGGCAUUGCAGAGUCAGCUGGGUGCCUUGUCAAGGUACUGGAGAGAAAGCAGCUCAGCAAAUGCAUGGCAGAAGAACCUGCAUCAUCCUGAUUCAUCCAACUGAUCUUCUGAAGUAACAUCUGGAUUGAAUACAAGAUUACUCAAGAGUUCAGAUUGAAAUGCUACUUAGAGCUUAAAGACAAAUAAUAGAGACUACUACUAAUUGCAGAGUUCCAGAAAGCAAUGAGUUACACUGAGUGUGACACUGAGCAGGUUGGGCUCGAUGUCUGUGUGCGCUGGAGUUGCAUCUGCUUUGAGAUGGGGAACUGGAAGGAGAGGAAUACUAGAGAACCUGAGCAGAGCCAGGCCUCCUCUGACAACCACCUUAGGUAUUUCCUUUAACUAUUUAAUCAAGUUGAUAAAUAAACACUGUUACAUUGUUUGCCCCUGUCCUUCCCACUGGAAAACUGUUUUUGAGCCUCAUUAGUUUGUUCCUUUAACUCAGAACUUAAUUCACAUGUUUUUUAAAUAUCUUCCGUUAUCAACAUCUUUCAAUACAACUAUAGUAGAUGAUUUUAUUCUAGUAUUUACUGAGCAGGAAUGUAUGGUAAAACGUGUGGUAGGAGGAUCUUGCCUUGCAGCUAGGUGGCUCCUUCCUGUGCUGUUGUUGUAGUUAUGACAAAUUGCCUUGAGCAGAAAGCACUACAAGUAAUUAAUCUAGUAGGAAUGGCUUUUAGCUGUAGUCACUGAACUUUGGUGUACAGAAAUAAGAAAUUUGCCAAAAAGAACUGCACAAAAUAAUGAAAAUAGUUCACCGGUUUGGGUGAAAUAAACUAUUGU